GCCCUGCUGACACUCCAUAUGAGAAAGGAACAUUUGAGCUUUAUUGUCAGUUUGGCACUGAAUACCCAGUGAAGCCUCCAACAGUUCGCUUUGUGACUCCAAUAUAUCACUGCAACAUCAACAACGUGGGGCGAAUCUGCCACAAUAUUCUUGAUCGGAACUACAAUUCUCUAAUCACCAUGAGAGAAAUUCUUGAAGCUGUGUUCGGACUGCUGAUGCAUCCUGAACCAGAGGAUCCACUGGACAGCAUUCUGGCAGAGGAAUACAUAACCAAUAAGGAAUCAUAUGAUCAAGAAGCCAGAAAAAAAACUGAAGAAGCUGCAGCAGAAUCAUUGGAGUCUAAGGAGAAGAAAUUAGUGGAGCAAGAGAAACCAUACAUACCUCCACUUCUCAUCUGUCCACUGAGCAAGAAGAUGUUCACUGAUCCAGUGAAAACAAAUCGCGGAGCAGUGUAUGAACGAAGAGCCAUUGAAAAACAUCUGAAAAAGUGCAAGUGGGAUCCAUUUAUUGAACCAAAGGUUCUUCUUAGAAGAACUGAUCUAAAGCCAGACCAAGAAAUGAAGUCCAGGGUGAAAGCACAUCGUACAAGACAACUUGAGACCUACGUUUAACCAAACAACUUCAAUCACAUCACUGCAGUCCCUGUGUAUACUUUAACAUAGAUUCUCACCUUUCUGUGAGUAGAAUAUCUUCUUGUCUUUCAAACAAGAAGACUAUUAAGGUUACAUAAGUCAAUGACAUAAGCAUCACAAUCACUGGCUUAUGUUUUGUCUCAUUAUUGUAUGUUAAGGCAAUAAACAGUUAAGACCAAAAUCAUUCACACAUCUAUGAUAUGGAUUUAAAUUAAUUUAAUUUAAACAAGAAGAUAGUUUGAGUUGGGAUAGGAAAUGAGACAGACCUCUCCCAAAAGACAAUAAACCAAAGUAAAAUUAGCCUUUAUAUUGAAAAAAUCUGUUUGGUUUUCUUUGCAUCUUAUUUAGAAAAUGACAUGCCAGAAAUGUGUGCUAUUAAUCAGUGGAAAAAUCUUCAUUGUCAUUUCAGAAAUCAAAAAGCGUUUUGCCUGUUUCCUCUGGUUUUAUGUUUAUAUUUGGUGAUAAUCUUCGAGUCUUUGAAAGCCUCUUGGCUUCUGCUCCAUCCACAAAUUCAACAACUGUAUUACUGUAUAACUAACAACCAGAUUAUUUUCAAUUGUAAUGUGUGUCAAUAAUUUUUUAAAUGUAUAAGGGAAAUAUUGUUAAGAACUGUUAACAACUAGUAAGUGAGAAUUUAUUUCUAUUGGAUAUCUAAUCAGUGUUUUGUUUCAUUUAAAAAUCUUUUUCCAGAAAUGGCACAACUUUUAGACAUUGUUUAGGAAAAAUCUUUUUUAUUUUCGGGAGUGAGCGAAACACUGAAUCAAUCAGAGAAAUGCGCAUUUGUCUUUAGACAUUUUAUUUAGAAAUUCAGAAUAAGUAUCAGAGAUCAGCGUGUGAGAAAAGAAAAGCAAGAGAGAAGUGAAACUUAAAACAUAUAAUUCUCCUUUUAUAUCUUAUCAGUCUCAUACACGGUGCCUUCCACUCAUCUCUCUCCUGUAGGGAGUUUCUCUGAGUUUCUCCCGGCUCUGGUGAAUUGCAAUUCUGUUCCUAAAUCAAAUCUGGUUCAAAGGAACUUUGGUUGGAAAGAGAAGAAAAACCAUUUUCACUGAAACCUCGUUCAUCAGUUCCAUAAGUAUAACACCUGCUCAGAAACCUUCAUUAUCAGUUCAUUCUUCACAGUAAAUAAGCGAAAGUUUUAUUUUCCAAGACAACAUAUAUUUUGGUAAAGAGUAAAACUACAUUACUUUAAAAACAUUGGACACUUAGUCAGUUGUAUUUCAUACCUAAUUGUUGCUGUAUGUAGAUAUGUAUUUUCAGAGUG